CUCCGUCGUAUCGCCCAAUGCUACUAUACACACUUCUCUUUUUGACCUGUAUUCGGAUGCGGCCAGCGCUGGUAUUGCCUAUUUAGUUAAGGUUAAGUAACCAGUUUAAGCUAUCUGGCAACAACGGAGUAGCAACCGCGGGUGGUCAUGCUCAUGAAUGACAACCUUCCAUCCAUCAUAUCGAAGAACUACGGAAACGGGAUGAUUGGCCAGAGUGGAACGUAGCCGCCGAUGAAGAACUCAAAUCUGUGGUCGAAAAUGAGACUUGGUACCUUGUUGAUCUCCCAAUUGAUCGGAAGCCUGUGGCUUGUAAGUGGGUAUUCCGGCUUAAAACUAACCCGAAUGGUACCGUUCACAAAAGGUAGAUAAGGUUGGAUUGGAUUUAGAUUUUAUUUGGAUUGGAUGUGGGUUAGAUUUUGAUUAUAUUUGGAUAGAAUUUGAAUCUGAUAUAUUAGUUAUUUGGACAGCCAUUGGAAAAUAAUAAAACUCCACACUUCUCAUCUAA